rnacentral:rRNA from 1 species
UAUUCUCUACGGGAUCAGCAGUCGGGAAUUUUGACAAUGGGGGCAAUCUUGAUCCAGCCAUCCCGGCGUGUAUGAUGCAUGCGUCGAGUUGUAAAGUACUUUCGGCAGAGAAGAAAAAGGCAUCCCAUAAUACGGGAUGCUGCUGACGGUAUCUGCAGAAUAAGCACCGGCUAACUACGUGCCAGCAGCCGCGGUAAUACGUAGGGUGCAAGCGUUAAUCGGAAUUACUGGGCGUAAAGCGUGUGUAGGCGGUUCGGAAAGAAAGAUGUGAAAUCCCAGGGCUCAACUUGGAACUGCAUUUUUAACUGCCGAGCUAGAGUAUGUCAGAGGGGGGUAGAAUUCCACGUGUAGCAGUGAAAUGCGUAGAUAUGUGGAGGAAUACCGAUGGCGAAGGCAGCCCCCUGGGAUAAUACUGACGCUCAGACACGAAAGCGUGGGGAGCAAACAGGAUUAGAUACCCUGGUAGUCCACGCCCUAAACGAUGUCAACUAGCUGUUGGGGCCGUUAGGCCUUAGUAGCGCAGCUAACGCGUGAAGUUGACCGCCUGGGGAGUACGGUCGCAAGAUUAAAACUCAAAGGAAUUGACGGGGACCCGCACAAGCGGUGGAUGAUGUGGAUUAAUUCGAUGCAACGCGAAAAACCUUACCUACCCUUGACAUGUCUGGAAUGCCGAAGAGAUUUGGCAGUGCUCGCAAGAGAACCGGAACACAGGUGCUGCAUGGCUGUCGUCAGCUCGUGUCGUGAGAUGUUGGGUUAAGUCCCGCAACGAGCGCAACCCUUGUCAUUAGUUGCUACGCAAGAGCACUCUAAUGAGACUGCCGGUGACAAACCGGAGGAAGGUGGGGAUGACGUCAAGUCCUCAUGGCCCUUAUGGGUAGGGCUUCACACGUCAUACAAUGGUCGGGACAGAGGGUCGCCAACCCGCGAGGGGGAGCCAAUCUCAGAAACCCGAUCGUAGUCCGGAUCGCAGUCUGCAACUCGACUGCGUGAAGUCGGAAUCGCUAGUAAUCGCGAUCAGAAUCGCGGACAGCAC